GAUGAACGCGUAGCGGCAGGCUUAAUACAUGCAAGUCGAGGGGCAACAGGGGUAGCAAUACCUGCUGGCGACCGGCAAACGGGUGCGGAACACGUACAGAACCUUCCUUUAAGCGGGGGAUAGCCCAUAGAAAUGUGGAUUAAUACCCCAUAGUAAUAUUUGGUGGCAUCAUUAGAUAUUUAAAGAUUUAUCACUUAAAGAUGGCUGUGCGGCUGAUUAGGUAGUUGGUGCAGGUAAGGCUCACCAAGCCAGCGAUCAGUAACUGGUGUGAGAGCACGACCAGUCACACGGGCACUGAG
rnacentral:rRNA from 1 species